CCAAUGGCAGUGCAGGAUGGGAUAGAACACACAGAGCCAGCCAAUGGCAGUGCAGGAUGGGAUAGAACACACAGAGCCGGCCAAUGGCAGUGCAGGAUGGGGAUAGAACACACAGAGCCGGCCAAUGGCAGUGCAGGAUGGGAUAGAACACACAGUGCCGGCCAAUGGCAGUGCAGGAUGGGAUAGAACACACAGAGCCGGCCAAUGGCAGUGCAGGAUGGGAUAGAACACACAGAGCGCUGGCAGUGCAGGAUGGGAUAGAACACACAGAGCCAGCCAAUGGCAGUGCAGGAUGGGAUAGAACACACAGAGCCAGCCAAUGGCAGUGCAGGAUGGGAUAGAACACACAGAGCCGGCCAAUGACAGUGCAGGAUGGGGA